AAAUCAUCAAGGUAUUGGCGCGCCUCAAUUUAAAGACGUGGUUAAAUGGGCAUGAUUAGCCAUGUAUUUUCAUUGAGCCGCGUCAAUAUCUCCUUAAUUAUU
rfam:Citrus sinensis cultivar Ridge Pineapple sweet orange scaffold00121_contig_45, whole genome shotgun sequence.